ACGCACGUUCCACGAUGUCGCUGGCAGCUUAUGGCAGGAGCUAACACACAUUUCACGAUGUCAUUGAGAUCGUAUUUCAAGAGCUAGAUACGUUGCAGUCUAUGCUUCCACAUUUUUGCAUGCACCUUAUACAGAGUCCACGUACCUUGUUUAUGUAUCCAUGUUUUCCAUACAGGUUUCCUUGCAUAUUGAGAAUGCCUAUUACCUUGAUGGUCUCGCGCUAUCCCGCAGCUUGAGCCCAUGAAAGAAAAGUUUUCACAGAUUUGUUGAUUUUCCCAGGAUGUUUUCAAGUUCUUAAGCAGAAAUGGGAAGGGAAUUCCAGAAUCAUAAUUGUAGAAUGCCCAUGUUUUAUAAUUUAUUGAAGGAAAGGAAGAUUAUUCACACUGAUAGAUGAAUAGGUGAAGUGGAAGGCAUGAAAGCCCUCUGCAUCUGCUGAAAACUCAUCAGCAGUUUAUUCACGAAGCACACCGUUGUGACCCUAUACUGCUGUCCACGACCCUUCUACUUUCGGUUUUAUUCACAGAUGAUUGCAGAUGCGUUGAGAGUUAUUCACAGUUUUCCCAAGGCAUGGCGGGAAAAUAGAGGUAUGAAGUAUUCAUUUCUGGACAAGAGGCUGCACAAUCUAACAUUGCAGCUUGUACCACCGCCGCUGCUGCCCCAGUGCCGGAGACAUCAAGCCUUGACACAUUACAAUUCAAUAUUACAGUUCCAACACCUUACAUCUUCACGACGAGGGUCCUUAAGGAAGCUAGAUCUGAGAAGUAGAUAAGUCUUGUGAUCUUAAUAAGGGUUAAUGCAUAUUUUCUUGUCCAAUGCAAAAUAAAUUCUAAUGGAACUUUCCUGGUCUUUUAAUUGGAAAUGGUGUCCUUGUUUCUCAUGGAACUGUACCAGGUAGCAGCUGCAACAAUGUACACAAUUUUAUUCAUCCUCAGAAGGGCUCCAUCUUGGAGCAGGACAAUGGAGUGCCAUACUACCUACACUAAGAAACAAUUAAUGUGAAUGGAAAAACUCUUCCCUGCUAGUUUCUAUAUAUUUUUGUAGUUAGUUCUGCUUCUCUAUAAUUUUUUCUCUCAUUAUUCGCUAUAAUCAUGCAGAGAAUGUGUCAAGUUGAUGACUGGAUUCCAUCAAAAUGAUGUUCGAAAUUUAUGAUCCACAAGACUAUGCUUUAUUCUAUUUUUGAAUGUUUGGAUUACAGACUUUGGAUGCUC